rnacentral:misc_RNA from 1 species
GAUGAAGAACGCAGCAAAAUGCGAUAAGUAAUGUGAAUUGCAGAAUUCAGUGAAUCAUCGAAUCUUUGUACGCACAUUGCGCCCGCUGGUAUUCCGGCGGGCAUGCCUGUUCGAGCGUCAUUUCAACCCUCAAGCCCCCGGGUUUGGUGUUGGGGAUCGGCUCUGCCCUUCUGGGCGGUGCCGCCCCCGAAAUACAUUGGCGGUCUCGCUGCAGCCUCCAUUGCGUAGUAGCUAACACCUCGCAACUGGAACGCGGCGCGGCCAUGCCGUAAAACCCCAACUUCUGAAUGUUGACCUCGGAUCAGGUAGGAAUACCCGCUGAACUUAAGCAUAUCAAUAAGCGGAGGA